rnacentral:rRNA from 1 species
GACGAACGCUGGCGGCGUGCUUAACACAUGCAAGUCGAACGGAAAGGCCCUGCUUUUGUGGGGUGCUCGAGUGGCGAACGGGUGAGUAACACGUGAGUAACCUGCCCUUGACUUUGGGAUAACUUCAGGAAACUGGGGCUAAUACCGGAUAGGAGCUCCUGCUGCAUGGUGGGGGUUGGAAAGUUUCGGCGGUCGGGGAUGGACUCGCGGCUUACCAGCUUGUUGGUGGGGUAGUGGCUUACCAAGGCUUUGACGGGUAGCCGGCCUGAGAGGGUGACCGGCCACAUUGGGACUGAGAUACGGCCCAGACUGCUACGGGAGGCAGCAGUGGGGAAUAUUGCACAGUGGGCGGAAGCCUGAUGCAGCAACGCCGCGUGCGGGAUGACGGCCUUCGGGUUGUAAACCGCUUUCGCCUGUGACGAAGCGUGAGUGACGGUAAUGGGUGAAGAAGCACCGGCUAACUACGUG